UUCCUUCUCCGGCGGCGGUAGAGUCGCCGGCCGCCGGCCGCUCGCUCCUUAAACAUCCCCCCCUCUCUGUCUCUCUCUCUCUCUCUCACGACAGCACACACACACUGAAACAUGCCGCCGCCGCCUCCUCUCUCAAAAUUUCCAGCGACAGCCAUCACCAUCUCCCUCUUCCUCACCAAAUCGCGCCGCCGCGAUUCCUCUCUGGAACUCCGGUGAGUCAGCAGCGAGAAGCCACUGUCGCCGCGCCCCCUCUCCAAUUUCAGGCGACGAUGACGACUCCUCGCCGCCACCGUGCCCUAGCCUCCCUUGCUCAACCUUGGCCGACGGCAGCAGCUUCCUGCCGCUACCAUCGCCGCCCUCUAUCUGUCCCUCUCGACUAGCUCAACACAACAACCUCUCUCUCUUCUCCAGCCAGACCCUGUCCUCUCAGAAGCCACCCUCACCGAGCUCUGGCAACCGCGGCGGUGCCACGGUCGCCACCCUCACCGCCGACUCGAUUCGACAGCAGCUUACACCAGACCCGACUCGACUCAGACAACACCGCCGGCUCAAAACAGAGACCGAAAAAG
rnacentral:lncRNA from 1 species